UACGGAGGAUGCGAGCGUUAUCCGGAUUUAUUGGGUUUAAAGGGUGCGUAGGCGGGAUGCCAAGUCAGCGGUAAAAAUGCGGUGCUCAACGCCGUCGAGCCGUUGAAACUGGCGUUCUUGAGUGGGCGAGAAGUAUGCGGAAUGCGUGGUGUAGCGGUAAAAUGCAUAGAUAUCACGCAGAACUCCGAUUGCGAAGGCAGCAUACCGGCGCCCUACUGACGCUGAGGCACGAAAGCGUGGGUAUCGAACAGG
rnacentral:rRNA from 1 species